CCUACGGGUGGCAGCAGUGGGGAAUAUUGGGCAAUGGGCGCAAGCCUGACCCAGCAACGCCGCGUGAAGGAAGAAGGCUUUCUGGUUGUACACUUCUUUUUUCAGGGACGAAGCAAGUGACGGUACCUGACGAAUAAGCCACGGCUAACUACGUGCCAGCAGCCGCGGUAAUACGUAGGUGGCAAGCGUUAUCCGGAUUUACUGGUUGUAAAGGGCGUGUAGGCGGGACUGCAAGUCAGAUGGGAAAACCACGGGCUCAACCUGUGGCUUGCAUUUGAAACUGGAGUUCUUGAGUACUGGAGAGGCAGACGGAAUGCCUAGUGGAGCGGUGAAAUGCGUAGAUAUUAGGAGGAACACCAGUGGCGAAGGCGGUCUGCUGGACAGCAACUGACGCUGAGGCGCGAAAGCGUGGGGAGCAAACAGGAUUAGAUACCCUUGUAGUC
rnacentral:rRNA from 1 species